GUACAGUAGGCGGGUGCUUACACAUGCAGUCGAACGGUGAUGGAGGAGCUUGCUUCUCCUGAUCAGUGGCGAACGGGUGAGUAACACGUGAGUAACCUGCCCUUGACUCUGGGAUAACUUCGGGAAACCGUGGCUAAUACCGGAUAUGAGAUGCGACCGCAUGGUCUGUGUCUGGAAAGUUUUUCGGUCAAGGAUGGACUCGCGGCCUAUCAGCUUGUUGGUGAGGUAAUGGCUCACCAAGGCGUCGACGGGUAGCCGGCCUGAGAGGGCGACCGGCCACACUGGGACUGAGACACGGCCCAGACUCCUACGGGAGGCAGCAGUGGGGAAUAUUGCACAAUGGGCGAAAGCCUGAUGCAGCGACGCCGCGUGAGGGAUGAAGGCCUUCGGGUUGUAAACCUCUUUCAGUAGGGAAGAAGCGAAAGUGACGGUACCUGCAGAAGAAGCACCGGCUAACUACGUGCCAGCAGCCGCGGUAAUACGUAGGGUGCAAGCGUUGUCCGGAAUUAUUGGGCGUAAAGAGCUCGUAGGCGGUUUGUCGCGUCUGGUGUGAAAACUCAAGGCUCAACCUUGAGCUUGCAUCGGGUACGGGCAGACUAGAGUGUGGUAGGGGUGACUGGAAUUCCUGGUGUAGCGGUGGAAUGCGCAGAUAUCAGGAGGAACACCGAUGGCGAAGGCAGGUCACUGGGCCACUACUGACGCUGAGGAGCGAAAGCAUGGGGAGCGAACAGGAUUAGAUACCCUGGUAGUCCAUGCCGUAAACGUUGGGCACUAGGUGUGGGGCUCAUUCCACGAGUUCCGCGCCGCAGCUAACGCAUUAAGUGCCCCGCCUGGGGAGUACGGCCGCAAGGCUAAAACUCAAAGGAAUUGACGGGGGCCCGCACAAGCGGCGGAGCAUGCGGAUUAAUUCGAUGCAACGCGAAGAACCUUACCAAGGCUUGACAUACACCGGAAUCAUGCAGAGAUGUGUGCGUCUUCGGACUGGUGUACAGGUGUGCAUGGUUGUCGUCAGCUCGUGUCGUGAGAUGUUGGGAUUAAGUCCCGCAACGAGCGCAACCCUCGUCCUAUGUUGCCAGCACGUUAUGGUGGGGACUCAUAGGAAACUGCGGGUCACUCGGAGAUGUGGGAUGACGUCGAUCAUCAUGCCCCUUAUGUCUGGCUGAGUCAUGGCUACAUGCCGUACACGUCUUGCAUUCCGCUGAAGGUGCAACGCGAAUUCGCAGAAAAGCCGGGAU
rnacentral:rRNA from 1 species